rnacentral:rRNA from 1 species
GUUAAGCGACUAAGCGUACACGGUGGAUGCCCUGGCAGUCAGAGGCGAUGAAGGACGUGCUAAUCUGCGAUAAGCGUCGGUAAGGUGAUAUGAACCGUUAUAACCGGCGAUUUCCGAAUGGGGAAACCCAGUGUGUUUCGACACACUAUCAUUAACUGAAUCCAUAGGUUAAUGAGGCGAACCGGGGGAACUGAAACAUCUAAGUACCCCGAGGAAAAGAAAUCAACCGAGAUUCCCCCAGUAGCGGCGAGCGAACGGGGAGCAGCCCAGAGCCUGAAUCAGUGUGUGUGUUAGUGGAAGCGUCUGGAAAGGCGCGCGAUACAGGGUGACAGCCCCGUACACAAAAAUGCACAUGCUGUGAGCUCGAUGAGUAGGGCGGGACACGUGGUAUCCUGUCUGAAUAUGGGGGGACCAUCCUCCAAGGCUAAAUACUCCUGACUGACCGAUAGUGAACCAGUACCGUGAGGGAAAGGCGAAAAGAACCCCGGCGAGGGGAGUGAAAAAGAACCUGAAACCGUGUACGUACAAGCAGUGGGAGCACGCUUAGGCGUGUGACUGCGUACCUUUUGUAUAAUGGGUCAGCGACUUAUAUUCUGUAGCAAGGUUAACCGAAUAGGGGAGCCGAAGGGAAACCGAGUCUUAACUGGGCGUUAAGUUGCAGGGUAUAGACCCGAAACCCGGUGAUCUAGCCAUGGGCAGGUUGAAGGUUGGGUAACACUAACUGGAGGACCGAACCGACUAAUGUUGAAAAAUUAGCGGAUGACUUGUGGCUGGGGGUGAAAGGCCAAUCAAACCGGGAGAUAGCUGGUUCUCCCCGAAAGCUAUUUAGGUAGCGCCUCGUGAAUUCAUCUCCGGGGGUAGAGCACUGUUUCGGCAAGGGGGUCAUCCCGACUUACCAACCCGAUGCAAACUGCGAAUACCGGAGAAUGUUAUCACGGGAGACACACGGCGGGUGCUAACGUCCGUCGUGAAGAGGGAAACAACCCAGACCGCCAGCUAAGGUCCCAAAGUCAUGGUUAAGUGGGAAACGAUGUGGGAAGGCCCAGACAGCCAGGAUGUUGGCUUAGAAGCAGCCAUCAUUUAAAGAAAGCGUAAUAGCUCACUGGUCGAGUCGGCCUGCGCGGAAGAUGUAACGGGGCUAAACCAUGCACCGAAGCUGCGGCAGCGACGCUUAUGCGUUGUUGGGUAGGGGAGCGUUCUGUAAGCCUGUGAAGGUGUGCUGUGAGGCAUGCUGGAGGUAUCAGAAGUGCGAAUGCUGACAUAAGUAACGAUAAAGCGGGUGAAAAGCCCGCUCGCCGGAAGACCAAGGGUUCCUGUCCAACGUUAAUCGGGGCAGGGUGAGUCGACCCCUAAGGCGAGGCCGAAAGGCGUAGUCGAUGGGAAACAGGUUAAUAUUCCUGUACUUGGUGUUACUGCGAAGGGGGGACGGAGAAGGCUAUGUUGACCGGGCGACGGUUGUCCCGGUUUAAGCGUGUAGGCUGGUUUUCCAGGCAAAUCCGGAAAAUCAAGGCUGAGGCGUGAUGACGAGGCACUACGGUGCUGAAGCAACAAAUGCCCUGCUUCCAGGAAAAGCCUCUAAGCAUCAGGUAACAUCAAAUCGUACCCCAAACCGACACAGGUGGUCAGGUAGAGAAUACCAAGGCGCUUGAGAGAACUCGGGUGAAGGAACUAGGCAAAAUGGUGCCGUAACUUCGGGAGAAGGCACGCUGAUAUGUAGGUGAAGUCCCUCGCGGAUGGAGCUGAAAUCAGUCGAAGAUACCAGCUGGCUGCAACUGUUUAUUAAAAACACAGCACUGUGCAAACACGAAAGUGGACGUAUACGGUGUGACGCCUGCCCGGUGCCGGAAGGUUAAUUGAUGGGGUCAGCGCAAGCGAAGCUCUUGAUCGAAGCCCCGGUAAACGGCGGCCGUAACUAUAACGGUCCUAAGGUAGCGAAAUUCCUUGUCGGGUAAGUUCCGACCUGCACGAAUGGCGUAAUGAUGGCCAGGCUGUCUCCACCCGAGACUCAGUGAAAUUGAACUCGCUGUGAAGAUGCAGUGUACCCGCGGCAAGACGGAAAGACCCCGUGAACCUUUACUAUAGCUUGACACUGAACAUUGAGCCUUGAUGUGUAGGAUAGGUGGGAGGCUUAGAAGUGUGGACGCCAGUCUGCAUGGAGCCGACCUUGAAAUACCACCCUUUAAUGUUUGAUGUUCUAACGUUGACCCGUAAUCCGGGUUGCGGACAGUGUCUGGUGGGUAGUUUGACUGGGGCGGUCUCCUCCUAAAGAGUAACGGAGGAGCACGAAGGUUGGCUAAUCCUGGUCGGACAUCAGGAGGUUAGUGCAAUGGCAUAAGCCAGCUUGACUGCGAGCGUGACGGCGCGAGCAGGUGCGAAAGCAGGUCAUAGUGAUCCGGUGGUUCUGAAUGGAAGGGCCAUCGCUCAACGGAUAAAAGGUACUCCGGGGAUAACAGGCUGAUACCGCCCAAGAGUUCAUAUCGACGGCGGUGUUUGGCACCUCGAUGUCGGCUCAUCACAUCCUGGGGCUGAAGUAGGUCCCAAGGGUAUGGCUGUUCGCCAUUUAAAGUGGUACGCGAGCUGGGUUUAGAACGUCGUGAGACAGUUCGGUCCCUAUCUGCCGUGGGCGCUGGAGAACUGAGGGGGGCUGCUCCUAGUACGAGAGGACCGGAGUGGACGCAUCACUGGUGUUCGGGUUGUCAUGCCAAUGGCACUGCCCGGUAGCUAAAUGCGGAAGAGAUAAGUGCUGAAAGCAUCUAAGCACGAAACUUGCC